GAUAUGCACACACAUAUAUGCACACAGACACUCAGACACACACAGGUAUGUACACACAUAUACACAUCUGAGGUUGUUAAUUAUGAUGCUCCACAGUGGCCCAGCUCAUCCUCUGCCCACACGCUAAACUAUAAUCCUAUCCCACCAACUUUCAGCUGUAAGUUUUUGACAGGAAGUUAAUGGAUUUGAUUUCAACUCCAAUUUUCAUUAAAAAGCAUUCUUAAAUUGGUCAGCGAGGAAAAUUAAAACUGUGCUCUGGGAAAAUUUUAGUGUAAACUUAUUUCAUCUUUCAAAUUGUGCCUAGGGGCACACACAGGGCUGUAUAGUGCAGAACGGGAAAUUCACCGUUUCAAAAGCCUAAGCCCAGCCUGUCCACCCUCAUUCUUUCACUAUUCAUAAGAAGUGACUAUCAUAUAAAUUCCUUAAUGAACAAUGGCUUGCUCUGCAAGGUGUCCCUGUGUGUGACAAUGAUCCCUUUAGAUGGCAGAGCACUGUGGGAGCCAAGAUUCAGUCUGGAAAGAAUCACUUUUAUACUCUGUCACUUUGCCUAAGUUCUUCAGACCCCUGCGAGGUUCCAUUGUGAUGGCUUCCACAAAUGUCUCUAAAAUCCAGCCCGCAUCGCACACCUUAAAGAUGGUAGUUUCAAAGGGUGAGUUUUAUUAGAAACCUGUCAUACAUCUGUCAUCUGUUUUAAUUUCUCAGAUCAUUCUCCAGGGUGUUUGAAGUGUAUUUAUACUUAUAUGUCACUUGUGUGUGCUCCAACACCAGAGGACUGUCAUCUGGGUUUUAUGCAGUGAACCAAGACAUCACAAUGGUUGGAGUUUCUUACAGGAAAAUAAUGACAGAUGAAUAAGUAAUGCAUUCAUCCCAUUGUUAAGGCCCCCCAUGUCCUCACUGCCUUUGAGUUUAGCCAUUGCAGUCCCCCAGCCCCACCUCCAGGCAUACGUGCUGCCUUGCCUUGCUCCAAAGCCCCAGGGAAUAUGGAUUGCUUCAAAGAAGGCAGCCAGCAGGCUCACAUUCUCCUGAUGUCACCAUUUGGUGCAUAAUGUCUAAAGAAAUGAAAGAGAAUGAGAUUAUUGAUAUAUUCUAAAGGAGGGAGGGACAAAGCUCUACAGAAAAAAAAAAGACUAACACCAAGUUCAACUUGAAUUUUUGAUCUUUAAGAUUUUAACAAACAAAGAAGCUGGGAGUCCAUGAUGUGCAGCCAUUAUCUGCUGAGCAUGGGUCCUUCCCUGUCUGAGAAGACAGAGUCUAUUUUGGGGGACACAUUUUACUUCAUUGAGACAAAGAGCUCGUGCGGUGCCUGGAGGAGCAGACACAGGACCCCUAUGGUCGGGCUUCCAUCAACACGUUCAAUAAGUUCGUCUUGCUAUGACCACACUAACUCCUCAGCGGUCCUGAUAGAAUGCCGGGGCUCCUUCUGCCUUUACUGAUGGGGAGCUGCUGCCACUCCCUUGAGCUGAGUAGCUGUCGCAAGGCAAAUAUGCUGGUUGCUUUUCCACUUGGUUUUCUGAAAUUCUCUCUGUGGCGUGUAAAACAAGUGUGUUGAUUUAGAUCCGCACGUCUUUCAGAAGCUCCCUUCUGCGCAUGUGGCAUUGGUGCUGGGUCUCCUUGUCCAGUAGAUGCAUUUCCUGCUCCUAGAAGGCCACGUUGCAAUGAGGAGGAGACAUGGUGUGAAGUCCACUCCCUACAAAGGUCACUCCACACACAAUGAUGCUUAUAUUCGCACCGCCAAGCUUGAUGAAGGCGAAAUAUCGGGUACUAUAAAAGAAAAUACUGAUUUUUUUUCUCUCAAAGGAGUCAUGGAGAGUUUUCUAAGGUCUCAUUUUACUAGCAUCCAAGAGUCACUAUUAACGGCAGGCAAAGUCUGAAUGUUUUUCAUCAUGCAGUAACUUCUAGAAUGAGAGCAUUCUAAAUUCUCACAUGGCUUCCCUACAGUACCUGCCCACUGUAAUUUCUGUCACCCCCUGGAAACUGAAAGGACUUAUGAAAUCCCAUCUUCCCAAGACUCCAGGAUGGUCCUUGUCAAACAGGGGCUAUCUGUCCAUCGUUAAUGGCUGAAUAAACUGACAGAUAAUUGGGCAGGGGAGAGAUGGGUCCUAGAUUACAGACUCUAGCACUUACAGAAGCCUGCCCUAUCUUAAAACCCCACCGGGUUUUAAUGAUUAAAUCAUUAUAUAGAACUUUUGAUGAACAGGGAACUGUAGGAAGAAAAACCUUCCUAAACAGAGGUGACAAUAUAAUGGGAUUGCAAAGCAUGUCCUGUAUAUAUGAAGGAGAGCUGCCACCCAUGGACUCUGGGACCUCCUAAAGGUGCUUACCUGAGAUGAGCAUGCACCCUCAGGCAUCUCCCAUUUUCUACAACAGAGACAGUGCAGGUAAGCUUUCCCUCAAAAAGGUGGCGCCCCGUUCUAUGGUCUAACUAUCAGUGCUCUGUCCCCUCCCCAGUUCAAUAGUUGAAACUUUAUACUGUAUUUAGAGGAAUCUCUUUGGGAGAUGGCCAAUAAUUCCUAAAGGUCCUAUCCUCAUGAAUGGAGUUAAUGAUGUCAUGAAGUGGGGGGCCCCAUGUUUUUCCUACCAUGAACCGAUGCAAGCAACAAGGCUCCGCCCAUCUAUCACAACACCCUCAGAAGGCAGCAGAGUUACUCGCAUCUUUCAUCACGAACUCCAGAACUGUGAGUAGUAGUAAUUCUCAUGUCUACACAUCACCCAGACUACAGCGUUCGGUUACAGCAUCCAGAGCAGAGUGUGACGCCAGGUAUGGGUUCCCUCUAUGCUGCUCACUGUGAUGGACCAAGGACCUCUCAACCCUUUCAUCUUCCAAUGAAAAUGAACCCCAGCCACACCCCCUCCCCAUUCCAUAAGAUGGCAACACAGAGAAUGCAGCUGCCUGGGAUAAAGAGAAAAGGCAGAGUCGAGUGUCACCAAGUGCUGGAGAGGAGAGACCCAGUGACAACACGAGGAGAAUCCAUGACCAGGGAAAGAGACAGUCAGGGCUGGUAGGCUUAGCGGUCCGUGUUGACUUGGCAGGUAAUAUGGGUGACAGCUCUGCAAUCGGAUUGACGGGAGGUUGCUCUAGAGAUGGGCUACCUCGUCUGUGGAGGUCUUCCCGGUGGAAUUUCACGUCCCCACCACAGACCACCUCUGUCUCGUUCAGCAGCCUUCCUUCAAGCUCUACGGAGCUCCUCCAUAGCCCGCCAUUUACUAUCCCAUGGAAACUACACAGACUGGCCCAAGGUGUUUCUUCACACAGGCCUGCUUAAACAUGACAAUACUGAACCAGAGGUCUCCUGGACACAAGACUCUCAGGCCUGGGGACCGCCUGAGUACCGUCUGACCUCCUUAGGUGCGAGUGCGAUGUAGCUUCUGGUCUCAUUAAGAAGAGGGCUCUGGUGAGUCCGUGAGAUCCCUGAUGAACAAGGACCUUAAAUUAGUCUCUGGCUUUGCGAAAUAGAGUAGCCACCGAGGGGAAGGCUGGCUGCGGUCUUUGGCAGCUGCCACAGAAAAGCACAAAGGGGGUUGCUGAAAUGUCUGGCUGCUUCCAUUCUUGAAAAUCAUAAGGGCAGAGGGACAAGCUUCAGCUUCUUAUCCUCAGUUUACACUAUCCGUGGGAUGCCAGGGAACACCUACCUCUGGGACAUCGUGUUUCUUAUAGCUAUAAGGCUCCUGGGCCCAAAAAUCAGGCUCUUAAGAUAAGACUGGUGGUAAGGAAAAUGAGAAACGCCCAAACUGAAAUGAGUUGGAAGGAAGAAGCUAGUUGCUAUAGAUGCACAGAUUAAGAAUCACGGGACUAGGUUAAAUGUAGGUUAAAUUUAUUCUGGGAGAAGUCACUUCCAUGAUAAACCGAUGACCCGCAAGUUCCUGCUCCGAGGAUCCACACCCAGGCUGCUCUCUGUGACCCAACCAGAACCAAGAGAGAGCGAGCUGGGGUCCAGGACCCUCCCCAUCACAUCCACACCUGUGACCACGCCUAAAUGGGCGGAGUUACCUUGAAAAUUCAGAGGCACGCCCCCAGAACCUUUGAUUCCCCCUCCCUGGUGCUUCCAUGGUUCUUUCCUUUCUCAUGGGGCCAUUCUGCCUCACCUGAGGCCCAGAGCAUGUGUUCUAUCUGGGGAAUGUGCCUCUGAAAUAGCUUCUUAAACUGGAAACCCUCAAAAGCCCUAAUCCCAUCACUAUACCUCAGACCAGGCAACCGGAGUACCCCAACACAGGAACCCCCACCAGAACUCCCACAGUUCUGUGGGCAGCUCCCUGGAAGCAGCAGGUGAUCUUAGACUCUCCUCUGCUAACUUCCAGUUCCUGUUACCUUGUCAAGAUAAUCCAGUGAUUCUCUGACCACUCUCAUCAACCCUAACCCUGACCCUGCACCCCUGCCUUUGUAACAUCGUUUUUUAAUCUGUAGUAUUUAUCACUACUUGACAGAUGCUUGUCUUGCACAAUUAUUUAUUCAGUGUGUCUUCUGUGCCCCCAGGGUAGACUGACCGGAAGUUAAGAAAGAUUGGAGUUGCUGAAAUCCUGGUCAGGGAGAAAGAAGUCUCGAAUGUUCCCCUAGGGAAGGUAGAGAUAGGCGUCUGCAGGAGUCCCCUGAGCACAGAGAACAUCUCAGAUGGACGACCUGGGAACAGAAGAAACAUCCCUGGAAGACAGAUGCUAGGAAAGAUGUUGAUGGUACCUGUUCCUAUGAAAAUCCAAGGAAAGAGUGGUCCUGCUGACCCCACAGUUCAGUGACCUCUGAGUCCACGAGGCCAGCAGAGGAUCCACCAUGUCGCUAAGGAAGAAGACAAGGAGUAUGGAGUUUGAGGCUCAAGGAGGAUGCUGUAGUCAAAACCUGCUGUACGCCUUCCUGUUGGUGCAAGGAAACAGCUCGGCAGGAGUCAGACCUUGAACGCUGAGACUGAGAACUCGCCGCUAGAUAAGAAUCCUCUUGGCUGAGGACAAAGGAGAGCCGAGGAGGUCCAAGGAGAGCAUUAGACCCCCUGCUGCUGUGGCCGAGGGCUAGACCCUCACCAGAGAAGCCAGGAGCUACAGACACAAGAUGGAGAUGGUCAACAAGAAUGCAAGGGUUUGCAGAUGCCAGGCCACCAGGAGCACCCAAAAAGAAAGUUUGGCUGGCACUCCAGGGGCCUCUUUCCUGCCCUGUUCCCCUGCUCCCCUGCUCCCCUCUGCUCCUGCUUACAAGAAAGGAGAAGACACGCAGCUUCCAGCAGAUGACCUAACAUCAGAAGGCACAGGGAUGCGGCUGUGAAGAGACCCACUGUCCUGACAGGUGGCUACACCGCGUGAUGAGAAAGGGUAUCAUCAGGGAUGGGAGUAGAGUCCAAGAUUGGACUGGGAGGGGGACUUGCCACAUCUUUGAGAGGCUGAAGGUUUCUGGAAGAACAGGCCUCCUAACCAACACCCAGCAGUAUGCAAGUGACGAGUGGUUAUGCCGGCUGAUGGGAUGAGGGAGCAAGCCACCCAUCCUUUCCCAGCUUGGUGACGAGUCCAUCAAGACAGUAGUUCUAGAAAAAAUUCCCCUACUCAAGAAAUGCUCUCUCUGUCGGGUCUAAAUUUACCCUCGGUGGCCACCUGUCCCUCUCCUCAUCUUCUCCAUCCCUGUCCACUUUGUCCUCCUUCCAUCCCUGCCCCGUUUUCUCUUCUAACUGCAAACAUGAGGUGUCUCACCUGCUACACACAGUCAGACAUCUGUUCUUCACAGUCCUAAGCACAGGACAUGUCACCUUGAGUCAGAGUCAACAGUCAUUCUCCUUUUCCACCUGACAGUGAUGCCAGUCCUCGUGUGAUGAUGUAGUUCACAUGUGAUGACGUGAGUCCACAUGUGAUGAUGUGAGUCCACAUGUGAUGAUGUCAGUCCAUGUGUGAUGAUGCCAGUCCAUGUGUGAUGUCAGUCCACAUGUGAUGAUGUGAGUCCACAUGUGAUGAUGUCAGUCCACAUGUGAUGAUGUCAGUCCACAAGUGAUGAUGUGAGUCCACAUGUGAUGAUGUGAGUCCACAUGUGAUGAUGUCAGUCCACAUGUGAUGAUGCCAGUCCAUGUGUGAUGUCAGUCCACAUGUGAUGAUGUCAGUCCACAUGUGAUGAUGCCAGUCCAUGUGUGAUGUCAGUCCACAUGUGAUGAUGUGAGUCUAUGUGUGAUGAUGUCAGUCCACAUGUGAUGAUGUCAGUCCACAUGUGAUGAUGUCAGUCCACAUGUGAUGAUGUCAGUCCACAUGUGAUGAUGUCAGUCCACAUGUGAUGAUGUCAGUCCACAUGUGUGAUGUCAGUUCUACAUGGGAUGAUGUCAGUCCACAUGGGAUGAUUUCAGUCUACAUGGGAUGCUGCUUACUUACUUGGAAUCAUCUCUGCUCUGUUUUUUUUUUUUUACAUAAUAAACUAAUAAACUCUCUGUGUGUUCCUGUUGCAGAGUCAACCUCUAGGGAGUAGGAUUAGGUCUUCUACAGUCUCUAGUGCUCCUGUCACUCGUCUUUGACUUCUGGCUUUGACAGCUCUCUCUAGGAAUUUUUCCAGUGCCUGCCACCUGCUUCCACAGCAUAUGAGGUUCUGCUCCUUAUGUCCUCAAAAUGUUCCUCUACUGUUGUACUUAACCUUUUAGACGAUAGCCUCGUCCUUUAUUUUCUGUGUGUUGGGGGUGGGGAGAGCUGGAUUAUCCAGCUGUGAUGGGGGUAGAAAUAUGAGUGCAACUUCAAUACAGGAAAACAAUUCUACUCUGUUGAAGGGUCAAGGUCUGGGUUUCCUUUCUUGACUUAAUCAAGACACAUAGACACACACAGACAUGCCAUGUGCACGCGCACGCGCACACACACACACACACACACAGAGCUGGGAUUACAGGCACAGUACAUACAAUUGAUGGUAUGCUUUUAAUGUAUUUUAUUUUAAAUUCUAUGUCUCUCUGCCGGCUUGCGCACAUGAAUAUAGGUGCCUGUGAAGGCUAGAAGAGAGUGUCACAACCUUUGGAUCUGGAGCUGCAGGCAACUGUGAAUCAGUGCCCUUUGGUGCUGGGUCCUCUGCGAUAGCAAUGCACUCUCUGAUCUGCUGAGCCUCCUCUACAGCCCCAUGCACUUGGACACAAGCUGAGGUCCUCAUGACGGCAUACUCGGUACUUUCCUACAGUAUCAUCCCCCGGCCCCUUUAGGAAACAUUCUGUAGUCUUUGGAGAAUGUAAACACGCAUCAUCAGUUUUCUCCAACAUUUUUAACCAGCAGAAUUGAAAGCAGAUGUUUGUAUAUGAACAUGUAAGCGGCCUUGUUUGUGGUAGCCUCAGACUGGAAGGAUCCCAAGUCCAUCAAGAGGCAGCAGGACGAACGGUCGGAGAGCUCUGUGAUGGAGCACGACUCAGCGGUGAUGGGAGAAGUCUGACGGCAAACAGCCUCACGGUGGCUCUCAAAGUCAGCAUACGGUGGGAAGGAACCCGAAGAACGAGCCGCCACAGACAAGGCUAGAAAAUGCAAAUUAACCGAUGGCAGAAAGUGGGCCAGACACCAGAGGACUGGAGCAGGCACGGGCUGGAAAGUGCUGUGGGCACAAGGAAACACUGGCCGCUGCCGGGUGUGACUCUGGUGGCCUUGGCGGUUUCAGAAGCAUAUGCCCCUGUCUAAGGCAGCCUGUCCCACACAGGCACCUGCAGCCCAUCCCACAUCUGAGGGCAUGCGGAAAGUUACUGAAGAACGGGAAACCACAGGGCUUUGGGAGCAAAAGUGUUGAAGCUUUGUAGAAACGUUCCUCUCAGCCGGGCGUUGGUGGCGCACGCCUUUAAUUCCAGCACUCGGGAAGCAGAGGCAGUCGGAUCUCUGUGCAUUCGAGGCCAGCCUGGCCUACAGAGCGAGUUCCAGGACAGCCUCCAAAGCUAUAGAGAAACCUUGUCUCGAAAAACAAAAACAAAAAAAGUCUAAAGCUCAAAGACUCAUGACCUGCUCUUCUAUCCCCAGUGGCUGCCAUUUGGCAUUGUUAUGUAACAUUCCCUCCCAGAUAAACCCUUCCAUCUUGGAGGGAGGGUUCUUUAAGACCAGGAAGUUCUAAGGGGGUAAAACAUUCCAUCCUGCAAGGAUUAAGUUUAGAAGGUGGACAGCUUAGUCGCUUCACAAGUCCCUAGAACUGACCCUGUUCACUAGGCUCCUCCCUCUCCCAGCUUAUACAGCAAAGGGAGACAUCCUCAGAUAAGCUAAGCUGCCUAGGAAGGAGAGCCCAGCUGACUGGAAGAGAUAUCUGAAAUCUGUUGAGAUGGGCAGUAUGUUCCAGGUUCCCAGCUUUGUGAGCUGUCGCCCAUGCUGGAGCUAUUUGGUGACAUAGCUGUCAUUUCUGGCCCAGGAAUAACCCCUCAUCCAUACCCCUGUAAGUCAUCGCAACUCGUUAGUUCACCAAUUGAAGUUUUGUGGUAACCUUACUUUGGUCUGUCAUUGGUUCCAUAUCGGGGGAGAGUAGACGUUUGCUUACACUGUUUGGGAGUCAUGCCACAAAACAGGCAAGCACCACCUAAUUGUCCUGACAGUUGGUCUAAUAAGCCAUUGCCUAAUCUCUGGGAGAUGUCUAAGGUCAUGAGACAACACCUGACAGAAAGGGAGUUGUAGGAGAGAGGCCUGGGAACGUGCAGUGUUUAGGGAGAGCCAGAGUCAUCAGGACUCAGUGCCCACGGGUGUGACAAAGAAUCUGCUCCUCGUGUGUGACUCCAGGCUGCUGUGGGGAUCUUCAGGACCAGCGAGAAAACACUGAAGCUACAGAGGGAAGUCAUAGCAGAGUCUGGAAUGAAGGGGGCAGGAGGAGAGGGAAACAGAACCCCCAAAACCCAGGGUGUGCGGACACCACAGGAUGGACCACCCUUAGGCUCUCACCUCUGUCUCCACAAUGGAAUCUCUUGGGUGAAUUUGGUUAGGAAAGGUGUGAAAAGUGGUCUUUGUGUUAAGGUGUUUGGUUUCAUCACGCCCCCUCGUGUAUACACACACACACACACACACACACACACACACACACACACACGAGAGGGGGGGAGGGAGAGAGAGUUUUACUGAGACAAGGUCUCAUCCUGUAGCCCAGGCUAUACUCAAACUCAAGGCAAUCUCUGUGCAGCAACCACCUGCAUAACCUUAGUGUUGUAACUACCGGGGUGCUGAGGUUAUAGGUAUCAGCCACCACACCCAAUGAACUUGUAGUUUUAACAGGUGACCUAGUGAUUCGCCCCAUCUAAAACAUGUACUGUAUGAAAAAUGUUGAAGUCAUAGAAUAUUUUUAAGAAAUAUAAACCGUUUCACACGCCACCCUCAUCGCUCAUCACUGGCCCACUAGCCUUUGAGUCCACGGCUCUUCUCAUCACCCACCAAUGCAGAUCUUCCCAAGUUUAACAUUCCAUGAGCAGGCCAGGAUCCAGCUACAGCAGAGCCUCACGAAUGCCAGGUAAUGCUUACAGCCCUGUAAAAACAGACCAUGUCUUUCUUCAGGGUUCGGAUCUCAAAGCUCGAAGCCCAGUGGACAGUUUUUCUGUGUCAUUAACCAAGGGUUCUGCUUUAGUCUCCAGACUCCUUUCCCACAGCUGUCUAAGCAGUUGCCAGAGUUUUGCCCAAUGUUCCUGUCUAUGGAACCUCUGGGGUUUAGUCAAGGUAAGAUUGGGAGUUUCACGAAUCAAUACUGCUAAGCGCUCAUUAGCAGGGAACUCUGAAAUACAACAUGCAAAUCUGAAUGGUUGGUUUGAGGGAACUAAAUGGUUUCUUGCAAGCUCCUUUAGUUAAUCCAGGCAUUAUUUUUCAAGUAAAAUUCCAACCUUAAUAGUUCACAAGGGCAUGAACUCAUCGGCGUCUACCAAGCACACUGGGCAGCAUUCUUAAGGGAGCAGAAGGCACAAAGCCUGAGAGGUGAACCAGUGUGGUCAGGAAGAUUCUGGAAACACCCCAAAUGGGAAUGCGUCCAUGUAUCACACUAGAGACACAAGUGGAAUUCUGCUGAAAAGAAUCACAGACUCAGGUAGGACUAAAAGAAGGAUCCGUGUCAGAACCACUGUGGGGAUGGCUUCUUAGAGGCCUCUUCUCCUCCUGGCUUCUCAGAGGCCUCCUGGCUUUCCGUGGGCCCAUUCUUAUCAUGUUGAGUCCACUAAAGUAUAUUUUUAAGAGACGUUUCCUAUGACAUGGAAAAACAUUUUUACAACAUUCCAGUUACAUUGCCCCUAGGAGUCAUCUUCAACCUGAUUGCUUCAAGGAGGCAAGAAGCACAGAGCUUGGUUUGCAAAGGGAACUGCUCCAGGCACUUCCUACAAAGGACACAUGGAUUCUGCAGGGAAGAUGCACUUAGACGUGUGUGCCCUUUCUGGGUGGUGGCAGUGCACGCCUUUAGUUCCAGCACUCGGGAGGCAGAGACAGGCAGAUCUCUGUGAGUUCAAGAGUUCAAGGCCAGCCUGGUCUAAUGCGCAAGUUCCAGAACAACCUCCAGAGCUACACAGGGAAACUCUAUCUUGAAAAAAAAAGUAUGCACUGCAUAUACCCAAACGAUCAAACAAGAGAGACAAUUGUAACAUAGACUCAGAAGCCUCCAGCCCCCACUUCUAAUUGUGAGCAUAUAUUUUACAUGAAAAAUUACAAAAAUACAAAUACUUUUUUUAAUCAGUGUUAAAAAAUGCUGAUUUCAUGGCGCACGCCUUUAAUCCCAGCACACGGGAGGCAGAGGCAGGCGGAUCUUUGUGAGUUCGAGGCCGGGCUGGACCAACAGCUUCCAAAACAAUACAGAGAAACCCCUGUCUCGAAAAAACAAAAACAAAACAAAACAAAAAAAAAUGCUGAGUUUACAAUUUACACCAUUUCAAAUGUGAAUGAAUGUUAAGAUAAGAUGGUUCAAUCCAGCAAAAACACCCAGUUCUCUUUGUUCCUGUGUAGACUCUUUGACAGUUACCAAGAAUGCUACAAAAGAUAAGACCCCUAUUUUGUAUAAAUAUUUCAUCAACCUUCAUAAACUACUUAGUUUCUUUCUGUUUUUCCAGACAGGGUUUCUCUUUGUAGCUUUGGAGCCUUGUCCUGGUACUCGCUCUGUAGACCAGGCUGGCCUUGAACUCACAGAUAUCCCCCUGCUUCUGCCUCCCGAAUUCUGGGAUUAAAGGCAUGCAUCACCAAUGCCCAGCUCUUACUUUCUUUAAGAUAACUUUUGCUUUUUUUUAAAUUUGGAAUUAAAAGAUAAUGUAGACAAAAGGAAGCCCAUAAGACUGUAGUCUCCAUGAGGUUUUGUGUUUGCCAAAUUGCAGAUGUGUGUGUGUCUCGAUCUUUGCUGUUGGUUACGAGUAUGGGGGAUGGGAAGAAGAGAGACUUCUCUCCAAGGACUGUGGACCGGAUGGUGACCCUUAUUUGGUUGUGCCGGGGCAAGCGGAGAAAAGUCAGAGUCCUGACUAUUUUGUUUCCCAGGUCAGAUACCAGAUGGGAUUGCAUCAGGUAGGACCAAAACAAAGUCUAUGGGAUUGCAUCAGGUAGGACCAAAACAAAGUCUAUGGGAUUGCAUCAGGAAGGAUACUGGCGAUUUCCAGAUGAGGGCAUUGCUCACGACCGGGCUGGGCCUUGAGCUACAUAAGGAAAGCCACCACCAUUGGCAAACCCAUAUUAUGUAAGGCCCAGGCUCCCUGUAAAUAGAGUAUCAACACAAAAGAAAUGCCAGCAGCCCAAGGCCUUGUAUGGGGUUAGCCUGGCUUGCCGGCCUGUUUCCACACAGGAAGGAAUCCCAGUCUGUCAUGAAACUAAACAUCCAGGUUCCCACAUCACCCCACAGCAGGACAUGUGAGCCCAAAUGGCAGCGAUUGCUCACAGGAGAAAGUCAAAGCACAUUGUGUAAUCGGACUCUGUGGAAUGUGUGAGGCAUGUAGCACCUGACUGGGCUUGUGUAGGUCCAUUUAAAGUCAUCCUUCACAGAAAUCCUGCUUGCAUCACUGCCCCAAAAGGAGAGUGUUGUCUUUCCAAACUAAAUGACUCCUAAGACGCUCUCUCAGCUGCAUCAUCCUGACUAUGGACUGUGUGACUAUUUACAAGUGCUGAGAGCAUGCACCAGGAGUCAGAAAUCCUAAAUUCUACACAGGUCAAACCACUUCCCAGACAGAUGACCCUGGAUAAGUACCUUGGUCUGGGCCAAACAUUCAUGUUCUUUUGCAAAACACAAUAGCCAUAGUAGUCAUAAGGGGAAUAGUGGAUAUGGCCGUGUUUGGAAAAGUUGAAUGCACAUAGACAUAAUAAUUAUAGUCACUACUGAAACAUGUUCGUUACUGUAGAAUCAGAGUAUCCGGAAAAAUGGUUAAAGACAGAGGUAAAGAUGAGGCUGUCUUCUGUUCUUUCCAUAAGUUAUGAGGAAGGGUAAGACAGGGGAAUUGUCUGGGCCAAUUUCUGAAUACCUGGGGCUAAUUUAUAAUGAAUAGAGAUGGAUUCAGCUUGGGGUUCUGGAAGGGAGAGACAAAACACGUGCAAGUCAUCGAUGCUGGACCAUCCCACAGCAGGAGGUAGACAAGAUGGUCAGAUCCACUGUUAUAACAAAUCCAAGACAACCAUCCUCAGCAUUGAAGAAAUCAGAAAUUAUCAUUGCCCCUUACCACCAACAAAAGGCUGGCAUGUCACAUCCAAAGGAAAUUCUCCAGUUCCCCCAGAUCCAAAAGGCAGUCCAGGUGUUAAAAGAUGACCUCAAACUGGACUACAGGAGGACUUCCAGUGGUUAAACAAAAGCCAGCAUUCCUCAGGAAACUUGUGAAGCUGGUUCCCAUCUAACAAAAGGAUUCAUUUCCCUCACCUCUAGCAAAAAGGACACAGGGCUCUCCAGUUAACAUAUACCCAUGGCACCUAUCGGCAAAACCAAGUCCACUCUGGAAUCUUAACCCUCCUCGCUCCCUUCCCUCCCACAAGUGGCUCGCCCUCCUCAUAGCCCUCGCUAGUCUCACUAUGUACUGUCUCUCUGUCCUCUGUCUCCUGCUGUUCUCCCCUCUCGCACAGAUAACCUGAUGGACCUAUUUAGUCAACUUCCUCUGCUCUGAACUCUUCCAAGAGCCUCUGACUGUUCCCACGCAUUCCCAAUAGAAUCUUCCCUUACCGUGGAGCGUUCAUGUCAUCGGUUUAUAUGGUUUCUACCAAUGAGCUGCCCAGAGCACCCCCUCACUGUCUCAUCUGCCACUUGGCCAGGUGCAGAAACUAGAAUUAUAACUGGAACGAGUGUUUCUAUCAUAUUUUAUUAAGAAUGCGUGUUUAUGUAGAUUCUUGUGUUUUCUUUCCUUGGUGUAUCAUGUAAUGUUAGCAUCAGUUAAGAAAAUAUCAGUAGGUGUCAUAUAUAAAUUUUGAGAUACUAAAGAAUGUUCCUCAAGGGACAUUGUCACCUAUUCUAAAAUUUAUGAUGUGUUUGUAUGAGGGAUAGCUACAUUAUGUAAUUAUGACCUGGGUAUUGUUUUCAUUCGGAAAUUAAGUGUGGCUUAAGGAGACAUGACUGAGUGUCAAGCUGACACAGAAUGGACUUGCUUGUCAACUGACUAUAUCUGAAAUUGACUAAAACCCCACUGUCUGGGCACACCUAUGAGAGUUUCAUUUUAUUUUGCUUUUCUUAAUUAAAUCAUUUGAAGUGGGAUGACCCACUUUUAAUUCA